GAGUUUGAUCAUGGCUCAGAUUGAACGCUGGCGGCAUGCUUUACACAUGCAAGUCGAACGGUAACAGGCCGCAAGGUGCUGACGAGUGGCGAACGGGUGAGUAAUGCAUCGGAACGUGCCCAGUCGUGGGGGAUAACGCAGCGAAAGCUGCGCUAAUACCGCAUACGAUCUAUGGAUGAAAGCGGGGGACCGUAAGGCCUCGCGCGAUUGGAGCGGCCGAUGUCAGAUUAGGUAGUUGGUGGGGUAAAGGCUCACCAAGCCGACGAUCUGUAGCUGGUCUGAGAGGACGACCAGCCACACUGGGACUGAGACACGGCCCAGACUCCUACGGGAGGCAGCAGUGGGGAAUUUUGGACAAUGGGCGCAAGCCUGAUCCAGCAAUGCCGCAUGCAGGAAGAAGGCCUUCGGGUUGUAAACUGCUUUUGUACGGAACGAAAAGGCUCUGGAUAAUACCUGGGGCUCAUGACGGUACCGUAAGAAUAAGCACCGGCUAACUCUGUGCCAGCAGCCGCGGUAAUACAGAGGGUGCAAGCGUU
rnacentral:rRNA from 1 species